GGAAGAGUGGGUGAGAUGGCUGAAACCAAUCGGUUGCUAACUGAUCUUACGUGGAAACAUGUAACGUGGGUUCGAAUCCCACCUCUUCCGCCA
rnacentral:tRNA from 1 species